rnacentral:rRNA from 1 species
GAUGAACGCUAGCGACAGGCCUAACACAUGCAAGUCGAGGGGCAGCACAUGAGUAGCAAUACGAUGGUGGCGACCGGCGCACGGGUGAGUAACACGUAUGCAACCUGCCUUCUACUAUGGGAUAACCCGUUGAAAGACGGACUAAUACCGUAUAAUACAGGGGCUCCGCAUGGAGAUAUUUGUUAAAGAUUGAUUGGUAGAAGAUGGGCAUGCGUAUGAUUAGAUAGUUGGUGAGGUAACGGCUCACCAAGUCAACGAUCAUUAGGGGUUCUGAGAGGAAGGUCCCCCACACUGGUACUGAGACACGGACCAGACUCCUACGGGAGGCAGCAGUGAGGAAUAUUGGUCAAUGGACGAGAGUCUGAACCAGCCAAGUCGCGUGAAGGAAGACGGUUCUAUGAAUUGUAAACUUCUUUUGUGCAGGAAUAAAGUGGGUUACGUGUAACCUUUUGUAUGUACUGUACGAAUAAGGAUCGGCUAACUCCGUGCCAGCCGCCGCAGUAA